AGAGCGCGUGCUGAACUGUGGCUCAUCUCUGUUUCCUGACUGGAGCGAUGUGACCAUUUGCCCAGAUGCCUGCUACCAGGACUUCCCCACGGUGAUGGAGCAUAGUGCCCUGGAACCUGGAGCUAAAAUAACCCUUCCUUACAUUGUUUUAGCAGGUCAGGUAUUUUGUUGCACUAACGUGAAGUGUGACGAAUUAACACAGGAGGCCAUCUUGAAUCCCAGAGAAACGGUUCACAGAGGGACUAAGUUUCCAAGCAGCGUAAGAGUUGGUCUGCGGCAGAUACCAUGGUGAGUCCUCCAGGCCCUCAUUCAGGGUGGGGACAUCCAUUCCCCUAGGCUUAUGUCCUGUUUUGUUGCUGUUGUUUGUAUCAACUUGACACAAGCUGGAGUUACCUGAGGAGAGGGAGCCACAGUUGAGCAAAUGUCUUCAUGGGACUGGCCUGUGAGUCUGCGGUGCGUUUUCUUAAUUACUGACUGUCGUGGGAGAGCCAAAUCCACUGUGGGUGGGGCCCUCUGGCCUCUAAGAAAGCAGGCUGAGCAAGCCAGUAAGCAGAGUUCCUCCACGGCCUUUGCCUCAGUUCCUGCCUUCUGAGUUCCUGCCCGGCCUCUAUCGAUGAUGGACUGGGAUGCAGAAGUGAAAUAAACCCUUUCAUCUCCACAAUAGAAACCCUAACUGACACAUGUGACCUCUCAGAUGAGUGAAGCACAGACUUAUCUUCCUCUCGGAUAAGAGGGGAGUACAACCCAGUGUGGUGGUGAGCGCCUCUCAUCCCAGUGCUCAGGAGGCUAAGACAGAAGGGGUGGGACUUUGAGGCCAGCCUGGGAUGCAUUGUGAGACCCUGUCUCAACAAAAGGAAACAAAGCAAAAACCUAGCAUCACGGGCCAAAACGUGUGUAUUUUGAUGGUGGGUUCAAAGCCACUUUGAGGAAAAACUGAGACCAGCAAGAGCUUGAAUAGUCAGCAGACACCCGGAGAUCAGACUUGGGUCAAAGCCCAAGGAAUCGGAAAGAGCCUGAGCAUGUGGGAACUGGGAAGGAAUGGAUCACCAGACUGCCUAUCAAAAUUCGGUGGACAUUUCUAUUUGUAUUAUAGUUUAUUGAUUUUUUAUUUAAAAUGUAUGAGUGUGCAUGCACAUGCACUACAUAUGUGCCUGUUGGCCAUGGAGGCCAGAAGAGGGUGUCAGAUCCUAUGGAACUGGAGUUACAGAUGGUGUCAGCUGCCGUGUGGGUGUUUGGAACCGUACCUGGUCCUCUGCAAGAGCAGCAAGUGCUCUUCACUAUGGAGCCACCUCUCCAACCUGUUGGGGACAUUUUUACCUUUCCUUCUCCCCUCCUGUCCCCCAUGUCUCUCUGUCCCAGACAUAGUGCCAUCUUACAAGUCAUUCUGGAUACAGUCACAGUUGGAUUCAUCCAUUGUGGAGCUGAGAUCAAACUGGAGUGCUUUGAAAGAAACUAGCUUCCCAUUCUGGCCCUUGCGUUGCUGUGACAAACACUGAGAGAAACACCCUAAAGGAGGGAAGUUGGCUGGGGCUCAACAGUUUCAGUUCAUGGUCAACAGGCUCCAUGGCUGUAGGCCUGUGAGGAAGCAGAACACAGCCAGGCAGAAGGCUGUCCUAGAGCCAAGUCGCCGGCCUCCCGGUAUCAUCGAGAAAGUAGAGAGGACAAGAAGGAGCCAUAGACAAAAUACCUUCCAAGGCAUAUUCCUGUUAGUUGCAUCUUUCUUUGCCUAAAUCACUGUUCUCCUUUUGACAUAGGUAUGUGCCGAUGCUCUGGAGAGCCUUGAGUUGGAGAAGGGUUGAGACGAUGUUCCCUUCGGUAGAACCGGUAUUGAGGUUGCAGGCUGUGGCUCGGUCUUCCUUUGAGAGUAGCUGCUGUCUGCAUGAACAGACACCACUUUUGGCCUAGCACAGCCUGGCUGGCCCUCUCCUCUGCCUCCUGGUGUGGCUCUCUGUUUCCCUACUGAAGUGAGUUCAGGCGGCGAGGGCUUGGAAGCUGGGCACUUGGUCCAGAGACCUGUGGGGUCAGGGGGGACAGUGCCCACCUGAGAGCACUGAGAAAUGAGGUCUCAAGUUCCUAGAGGAGCCGGCAACUUCUGGAGUGUGAAGAAGCAGAUGUAGUCUGAGGGUGGAGAUGGGAGAUUCCCGAAGGGGGAGGGGCUGCCAGACAACCUGGCAGCCCUAGGAGGUGAGACCCCAGGGGAGGGGCGACCCCAGAGGAGGAACAAGAGACCCAGAGGAGGGGCGACCCUAGAGCAGGGGUGAGAAGGCAAUCCCUACAUAGUGGCUCAUAGAAGCUAGAUUGAGAUCACCAGGAGAUGGACUGCCUGCCUGUGGAGAAGUGAGGAGCAGAGCCUAGCUGAUGGGGGAGGGAGGGAGGUCCCAGAAGAGGUGUGUGUUUGGCAGGAGUGGGGCUUAAUAGGGUAGGGCGGAGCUGAAGACACAGAGUCUUGUAACUUACUUCCUCCAGGUCCCACUUCCUAAGUCUCUACUACCUCCCAAACCAGCACCAUCGGCCUGGGGCUAAGGGACCCUGUAAGCCUGUAGGAGACCUUCCAUAUCCAAACCACUACCGUUGGCCUUGACCUCUUCUGUACAGGGACAGCUGGGUCUACCAGUCACAGGACAAUGCUCCAGCACCCAUCACCAAAUAUUUCUGAGUGUAUCCUUGGAUGGUGCUUUAUCUUAGUCUACUUCUGGUUAGUCACUAAGUACCAUUAGCUCCUAGGGUUCUCCAAGUUUCUUGAGGAUGGCUCCCUUCAACUCCCAACUCACAAAGCUGAUGCUAAGGGCGUGGCUUCCUGGUUUUUUGUUGUUGUUGUUUUACAAACUCCAGGUUCUAAAAUGUUGAAGUGACUCUGUUUUCAUCCUUCUUUCCACUGGGCCACAAGGAAGUCCAUCAUAGAGAUAAGGGAAAUGUCACUCUGUAGUGACGCAUGUCUCAUCACCAUCCCCACCCCAUAAUUCCAGCUUCUUGCCCAGUUCAGACUUCUCCCCAAAACACCUUUGCUGCGGAAAAGAAAGCAUGGGACCUGCCACCCCAACCAACGUCUACCCAUAUAAAUGCUCUCGGCCCCACCCUCCAAGCCCAUGCCCAUGUAACCCUCUGUGCAGGGUCACAUGGGAACCAUGGUUACCAUAGAAACUCAGAAGAAAAGAAAAAACACGAAAGGGGAGGAAACAUUGACAAACUCGUAGAAGGGAACACAAAGUCCUUGCUGGCUCGAGGCCCAGGACUCCGCCCCACAAGCCCACUCAACUUGGCAGCUUCCUCUGCCUAAUUUACAUGCAUUGAGUGACAGCCCCCCAACUUCCCAGUCCCAGGCCUGUUCCGUAUAAGAUUCUCAGCAGUCGGGACGGUGUACGGACAUUCAACAAACAUCUAUCGGUUGAGACAGAUUUAAACAGUGGUGGUGGACAAGCAUGAGGAGGAGCAGGAAGGAGUAACCAGACAGUCCACAGCCAUCUUCCUCUGGUCGUGACUGAGGAUCCCAUGGGACCCUCCUGGCUUUUCCCAGGGAAGGUCUUAUGGCUGGGGAGGACUGCUGGGUUGUAGAAUGCCUCCCUCUGGAGUUCACCUGCUUGGACUGUGGUAAGAGUGAGGUUACCAGGACCUGGAGGACGAGAAAGCUGAGUGCCGCUUUUAUCAGAUCCUAUCAAGUUCAAGGCUGUCGUCGUGAUUUGUGACUGCUGACGUUGACGCUGACUCCCUGGCUCCUGUGUUCGCCAGCCUUUCCCACCGUAAGGCCACCUUCGUCCUGCGCCUUUUACAAGUCCUGGUGUGAUCAUUCUCUAGUGUCCUUUCAAGCUGCAGGGUUUUGAUUUUGAAAAACAACUUUUUUUUUUUCUUUCUGCCCUCCUCCUGCCCUCCUUCAUUUCCAUCUUUGUUUAUCUGUUUUUGUUUUGUCUUUUUGGAGGCAGGAUCUCACUCUCUAGCUCUGGCUAGCCUGGCAUUUGGAUAUAGACCAGGCUGGCCUCAAACUUACACAGCUCUGCCUGCCUCUGCUUCCCAAGCACUGAGAUUA